rnacentral:rRNA from 1 species
AUUGAACGCUGGCGGCAGGCUUAACACAUGCAAGUCGAGCGGGGUGAUGGUGCUUGCACUAUCACUUAGCGGCGGACGGGUGAGUAAUGCUUAGGAAUCUGCCUAUUAGUGGGGGACAACAUCUCGAAAGGGAUGCUAAUACCGCAUACGUCCUACGGGAGAAAGCAGGGGAUCACCUGUGACCUUGCGCGAAUAGAUGAGCCUAAGUGGGAUUAGCUAGUUGGUGGGGUAAAGGCCUACAAAGGCGACGAUCUGUAGCGGGUCUGAGAGGAUGAACCGCCACACUGGGACUGAGACACGGCCCAGACUCCUACGGGAGGCAGCAGUGGGGAAUAUUUGACAAUGGGGGGAACCCUGAUCCAGCCAUGCCGCGUGUGUGAAGAAGGCCUUAUGGUUGUAAAGCACUUUAAGCGAGGAGGAGGCUCUUUUGGUUAAUACCCAAGAUGAGUGGACGUUACUCGCAGAAUAAGCACCGGCUAACUCUGUGCCAGCAGCCGCGGUAA